CCUACGGGAGGCAGCAGUGAGGAAUAUUGGUCAAUGGGCGGAAGCCUGAACCAGCCAAGUCGCGUGAGGGAGUAAGGCCCUACGGGUCGUAAACCUCUUUUGCCGGGGAGCAGUGCCCAGCUCGUGAGCUGGGAGGGAGCGUACCCGGAGAAAAAGCAUCGGCUAACUCCGUGCCAGCAGCCGCGGUAAUAGGGGGGAUGCGAGGGGUAUCCGGAUUUAUUGGGGUUAAGGGGUGCGUAGGCGGGCCUUCAGGCCGGCGGGAAAAUUGCGGGGCCCAACCCCGCCGAGCCGUCGGAACCGGGGGCCUUGAGUGCCGGAGAAGUACGCGGAAUGCGUGGUGUAGCGGUGAAAUGCAUAGAUAUCACGCAGAACCCCGAUGGCGAAGGCAGCGUACCGGCCGGUCACUGACGCUGAGGCACGAAAGCGCGGGUAUCGAACAGGAUUAGAUACCCGGGUAGUC
rnacentral:rRNA from 1 species